rnacentral:rRNA from 1 species
AACGGCGAGUGAAGCGGCAGGAGCUCAAAUUUGAAAUCUGGGGUCCCCGACCUCCGAGUUGUAAUUUGGAGAGGCAUCUUCGGGGGGGAGCGCCGGCCCAUGUUCCUUGGAACAGGACGUCGCAGAGGGUGAGAAUCCCGUGCCAGGCCGGCUCCCUCCUCCCGCGUGAAGGGCCUUCGACGAGUCGAGUUGUUUGGGAAUGCAGCUCCAAGUGGGUGGUAAGUUUCAUCUAAAGCUAAAUACCGGCGGGAGACCGAUAGCGCACAAGUAGAGUGAUCGAAAGAUGAAAAGCACUUUGAAAAUAGAGUCAAAAAGUACGUGAAAUUGUUGAAAGGGAAGCGCUUGAGACCAGACUCAGGCCCGGGCAAACACCGCGCCCCCCGGGGCCGUGCAAUUGCCUGGGGCUGGGCCAGCAUCAGUCGGCGUGGCGGGACAAAGGCGCGGGGAAUGUGGCUCCCCUCGGGGAGUGUUAUCAGCCCCGCGCUCAAUGCCGCCGACGCCGACUGAGGACCGCGCCUCGGCUAGGAUGCUGGCUUAAUGGCCUUCAGCGACCCGUCUUGAAACACGGACCAAGGAGUCUAACAUCUAUGCGAGUGUUUGGGCGCCAAACCCUUGCGCGGAAUGAAAGUGAGCGGAGGUGGGAACCCCCCAGCGGGGCGCACCAUCGACCGAUCCUGAUGUCUUC